AUGCUGGGCUUCCUCUACAGCCGGGCCGACGGCUCCGGCCACAAGGGAGACCCCGCCCCACGCCUCGUCUCCACCUCCAAGUUCGGCGCGCGCAUUCCGGACUUCGCCAGUACGGACCCGGACUUUGAUUUGAUUGCGUGGGACUGCCGCCAUGGCCGGGUUCUCCUCGGGGAUGCGUAUUUCUCUCCUAGGCUGCUCGUGGUUUGGGACCCCAUGACGGGCUGCACUCGGCAGCUGGAUCGGCCGGACGUCGACAAGAUCGCGGUGCUCUGCGCGGUGAGCGGCUGUGACCACCGCUCGUGUCACGCCGGUCCCUUCAAGAUGGUCGGCGUUGUCGUGAACAUUAGUGUAGAUGGUGGUUGUGUUGCACGCGUGUACGUGUCGUCGCCGGACAUGGGUGACUCUGACGAGUGGAAGGAGCCGUGCCCUGGUCUUGAUGUUGCAGCGGAUGCAUUCAUCUAUGAUAUACCCGCUGUCCUCCUCCACGACGCACUCCACUUCAUACUUGGGUACCACGAUGAUAAUGAUCGUGUGGGAAUUCUCAAGUACAGCUUGACCUCUGAUUCUUUAUCAUUGAUUGAUGUGCCGUUUGCCGCUCAUGCCGAUAUCCUCAUGGCGAUGAAGGAUGGCAGUCUGGGGCUUGCACAUGUGGACAGCAGGUUAACCCUCUACGUGUGGUCCAGACAAAUAGAUUCCAACGGAGUUGCGUCAUGGACUCAUGGUAGAGUCGUGGAUCUCAAGAACCUUAUCCCUAUUAAAAAUACCAAGAGAAGACCUAUACUGAUUGGAUCUGUGGAGGGCAGAGAUAUCAUUUUCGUGAAGACGGAUCUUGGCGUCUACGAGAUUGAUCUCAAGACACUAGAGUGGAAGGAGCGGAUGAAGGGGGAAGACGUCUAUUCUUUGAUUCCGUACAUGAGCUUCUACAAUCCGCCAGAAAGGAUGAUCCCUGGUGAUGCGUCACGUUGA
rnacentral:rRNA from 1 species